CAAAAAGAGGAUUGGCAGCAGAUGUUAGCUCAGGGCUAAUCUUCCUCAAAAAAAAUAAAUAAACAAAACAAAAUAAAAGACCUAUAUUAACAGCACAACAUCCAUUUAGAAUUUUUAAUUCAUCAAACAUGUAUUGCAAAGCAUCAUAUUGCAGUGAAAGAAAGAGGACCAAAAACCCAGUCUCUGUGCAAAGUAGUAAUUUAAGGAAGGAAAAAGGGAAAGGAAGAACAUUGUGCACGACUGAUUGGGAAAGGAAAAGUCUGGGCUGUGUGCUGGGCACAGAGCUUUGCCUAUUAGGGGCUGCCGAUGGCAGCAGGUCCGCCUCUUUUGGAUAUUAAGGGUGUAUGACCACUGGAAGCCUCACGUGGGAUCGCCUUCUGGCCUGGCCUCCCUUCCAAAAAUACUUCUCUUUUAAUGAACCAAAUUUAGGCAGGAGACUUUGCCUGCCUUGGUGGUGUUUUUAUCCAGUUGGAGUUUGGUGGUUUUACUGUAGCAACUUUUUUAUGCCUUGAAUUCCGCCUUUAAUUGUGUAAUCUUUGGACUAUUUUAUCAUUGUUCACUUCUUUUUCUGUCACUUUGAAUUGAAGAAUAAGAUACAGAGUGUAUAGUGGUGAGAGGCAUAGAAAGUGGAAAUGGGAAGAAAUGGAAUUUACAGCUACUAUAUGAGGUGGCAGCCGGUGUCCCCAACAAGGACGACUUCUGUGUCUCCUCUAGACAGCCCUGCCCAAGAAAGGCUUUUAUCUUUUUCAGAGCAGCCCUCCUAGGCUGGCUUAUGGAGAAGCUCAGUCUUACAUCUAAUAAGUCAGAAAGACCUUUCUACCCCUAAAAGUACCCUUCCAAGUAACUCACUUGUUCCAGAGAAUAAGUUCUGCACCAAGAGGGCAGUAAGCUAGGCCCAAAGAUAAUGUGAGGAAAUUUCUAGAUAAUGCUAUUUUCUUACUUCCAAUUCAGAGCGAUUCAGAGACUGUCACAAGACCUUUGUUUAGUGUCCCCACUGCACAGUCCAAACCAAAUGCAAAGCUCCAGAUUGGAAGAUUGAAGCUUUGAUGUCAACUAAAAACGAGUGAUGCUGUUUAUGAUCGAGUCAUACAUGGAUCUGAAGGAGGAGUAGACCAGAAUGAGGGACUUUAAAAGCUUGGUAUUUAAAGAUAUGAGCAAACUUCAUUAAUGAAUGAAUGAAUAUUUCAGAGAGAGUAGUUGCUGAGCUUGAGCCUAAAAUUAUAGCAGGGAAUUCAAGGUUUUCAAGGGUCAAAAAAUAAAAUUCCACUGAGUAAAUUUUAGAGAUUUUAUUGGCUUUAUUCAACAAUUCCUGAAUUGGGCAGCAUCCCAUCUAGCAGAUAGCAAGGAGCUCUGAGGAGCUGUAGAAAAUGAAAGGUUUUUAUAGGCAGAAGAGAGUGGGGACAAGGAAGUUACACUAGCAAAAAGAAGAUUGGUUGAGGCAAGGUGACCUUCCCUUAGGGUACAACAGGGGUCUAUUUGGCAGAUGUCCUCACUAGUGCUGACCAGUUGAUUCCUGAUUGACUGGUUUAAGAUUCCAUUUCUGGGAGAGACCAAAACUGUAAUGAAGUCUCAGUUUGAUGACAUGGGGUUUAGCAUAAGUGACUCCAUUUUGGGCCUGUUGUCUUGUUUUUAACACAAGUGAUAAGAUUAUUAAAAAAAUGAGGUAGAAUGGAAAAUGUUUAAAGGUUCUAUUAUUUUGGUGGUUGAAGUUACAAAGUUAAGGUGUUUUCAGGCCAGAUGUAGAACUCAGCUAUGCUUCCAGUUGGCAAUAUAUUGCAAAUUGGUGUUCAAGUAAAUUGGCUUUGGUUAUGCCCAAACACAGAACUUCUCAAAAGAUCCAGUUUCUAGUUUCCCAAAGAAAUACACAGCAAUUAACAUGCUUAAUUUUUUUGUCUUAAUAUCGCCAAAUGCUGGUAAGAUGGUUUCCCAUUUUCCUUACUGGGAUGGCUAAAUUUUUCUGUUUUAAUUGAGGGCUUCUGCUUAUCCUUGAGUAGAGAGUAAUAUUACCAAAAAUGUCCUCAAUUUUAUUUUUUAAACAAAUUUACAGUUUUGAGUGUCUAGUUCUCUUGUAGUUCCCAGUAUAAGGUCACCCAGAGCAGCCUUUUAAGGUCACUCACAGUCUGUAACACAAGAGUGUGAGAAACCCUCUCCAGUUCAUUGAUUUCUUAUUUCUAUUGACAUAUAAUCCUGCUAUUCUAGAAAUUACAUGGUGUCAGGUAAAGUGGAGACAUUUCUAUUCAGACAAGCUCUGAAAGGAUGAAAGGAAAAGGUUUCCUUAAAUGUGAACAGAGGAACAAUGGAUGGCAAACAAUUUCCCCUAAAUUAUACAGCAAUUAAAUUUCCUAUUUCAAAACAAAGUGCAAUAGGACAUGUUUUCUUUUCUAUUGCAUUUCUAAUAAAAUCCUAUGUGAGAAGAGACAAAGCAAUAGAAAUUAUUUUCUGGAAACACCAGAUGUGAAUGCACCUGUCUGAUUACUGUUCAAAGGUCUAAUCUUGUAGUUAGGUAAAUAUCUUAAUUAAAUCACAUGCUGUUUUGCAUCAUUAGAAUAGGCCAAAAGCUGGAACUCUAUUCAGAAAUUUGAGCCUGAAUUGGUUUGUAUACUGUUUGCUCAUAUACAUUUAGGCAUCUACAAAGAAGAACCACUUUGCCAUUUUUGCAAAGCUAGAUUCCACCUUUGCUGCUUGUCAACACUGAGAGAUCUUGGGCCUCAAUUCCCGCAUUUGGGAUAAUAAUGUCUACUUAAUAGAUUGGUUGUGAGUAUGAAUGACAUGCUGCCUGUGAAGUGCCUGACACAUAGGGAGCCCUCAGUGGAUGUCAGCUGUGGCCUAUUUCUCUUCCAUUCUGUUAUAAUAUUGAAGUAAUCUCCCUUAAACGUUAUUAUCAUCUUAUCUAUUGGCUGAAGUGCCUACAGCAAUUUUUUUUACUUGUAUUAAUUCACUUAUUCAACCAUUCAUUCAAAAAUAUUAAUUUAAUAUUGUGUUCAUACAGAAAUGAACAAAAACAUAAUCCUUGCUUCCAAGAAGUUCACAGUCUAAUGAGCCAAAUUAACUAUGGAAUUUAAAGUUAUCUUUUAACUAAGUUGCAAAUAUCUGUUUCCCAUUUCAAGUCCAUCAUCUCCCCUCUUUUAGGGACAUAGUCUCUUUACCCAGGGGUUCUCAACAUUGGCUGAACACCAGAACCACGUGGGGAUUUUCUUAAAAAUAUGAAUGCCUGGGCCCUCCCUAGAUCAAUGAAGUCAGAAUCUCUGGGUGUGGGUGUGUUUAAAAAGCUUCCAGGUACAAUGAGAGUUGGGACUCAUUGGGCAGAGUCAAGCCAAACUCAACCCCUGGCUUUAUUCUGUGUGUCACUGUUUGUUCCCAUUCCACUGAGUAUGCCAUUCCUUUCUCUUUUCUCCAUCAAGGUCCCUUAUUACCUUCAGAAUGUCGUUUCAAAUACGUCUUUCCAGUGAAUGUUCUAUGAUUCACACCCUACAUUAUGUUCCCUGUUCUGUUUGGUGCCCUCUUUACUCCUAUGGAUUAUUUUUCGAUUUGGAUUUAUUGACAAGUGAAAUUUACAAAAGUUUUCUUUAACUAUUUCUUUUGUGUGUUUGUUUCUCAAAUCAUCAUGGACGCUGCUUGUGGACCAGAUCGGAUGUCCUAUUUUUUGUGCACUGUUUCACAGUGACUUUACAUUGCCGCUGGCUGAAGUGGGCACCCAACAAAUGGUCGUGGCCCACUGACUCGCUUCCGGGUGAUGUCCCAGAAGCUCUGUCCAAGAGUGUGAACAUUUUCAAGUUCUUCAUACAGGUGAAUAAAUUACUUCCCAGAGGAUUGUAGUCCUUCACAGCCCUGCCACCAGGAGGGCAUCAAAGCAGACAUUGGAAGAAGCCAGUGGAGGACAGUCACAAGAGAACCAGGCAGGGCUCCAGGUUUCUCAGCAACUCAAAGGCAACAGAAUGUGGACAGAUAUUGUUAAUUUGGGGAGCAAUCAGGAACAUUUUUGUGGACAUAGUUAACGAAUGGGAAGAUGUUUUGACUGAUGACUUUGGUGAAUGACAGAAAUGUCACCAUUUUCUUUUCUUAACAUAAAGAAUAAUUUGGAAGAGAAAUGAGAGUUCUCAAGAAUGAGAGAGUCAUUGAAGUUUUUAAACUCAUAGAGACAUUAAAGAUUGCCCGAUUCAACCUCUGCAUAUUGUCAAAGAGGAACUUGAGGAUGGCAUAAUUAAUUUAGCUGAGGCCACACAGCUAUUAACAGAGCCACAGCAGAAAAUGGACUCUGUAAGGUCCACUUUAAAACAAAGCAAAACAAAAAACUAUGUGAUGCUUGGUUUUUCAUUUUGAAAGGAAGAGUGUAAGUGUGAAUUUAUUUUCCCAUUGCAGCUUACUGAAUUUUUAGAAUUUUAUUUCUAUUGCUUAAUAACAACAACAAAAAACCCAACAAUCCAAUUAGAAAAUGGGAAAAAGAUCUGAACGGAGUUUUCUCUAAAGAAGAUAUAAAGAUGGCCA